ensembl:lincRNA
GGAGUCAGCUGUGUUUUUACUUUCUGUUGUCGGCCGGGGACCGGCUUCUCUGUGGAUUCUUUGAAAUGAAAUAAUGUGAUGCACGCCGCGAUAAGGGCCGGCCGUAAUGAGGCCCAGGCCGCCGGGCGGGCGGCUGCGACCGCUCCAGGUGUCGCGCCUUUGAGCUCGGAGGAGCAGGGGAGGAGCGCGGGCGGCAGGGGAGGAGGGCGGAGAGGCGGCCGACCGCGGCUGCGUGGGAGUCCUCGGAUCCGGGUUCAAAUCCUGCCACCCCGACUGCGCCGAGGGAACCCAGGGUGAAGGUGAGGGUGCCACCCUCCUCCCGCCAGCGUGGCGCUGCGCCGGGGAGGAUUGUGCGGCUGGUGUGCGUGGGGCGAGAAAUCCUUUACCCGGAGGAACCCGCGCCGCCCGCCCUCUGGGCGUGGCACCUGCCAGCCCUUUCAUUGGAGGAGCGCAGCAGCCCCGCUCGCCGCUAGGAUUGCCACCUCCCUCGGCAGAGGAGGAGCCUGAGGGCCCGAGAGGUGAGGGGGCCGGCUCAGAGGCACCCUGUGAGAGCCAGAGGGCAGCCCUGGCCAGGAGCAGACGAGCCCGAAAGAGGGAAGGAGAACCUUCUCCAUGCAUCAGCCUCACGACAAAGGUCAAGCCUCUGCAAGCUGUGCACAAGAUUCUCUGAGGCCUUGUCUUUGAAUGGUGUCCCACAUCACCUGGACUGUCUCUCAGCGCAUGAAUCAGAUGUGCAAGUCUGUGCACCUGGAGGUUGUUAUUGUUAGUUAUUUUCUGCCCCUGAAAGCCUCAGGUUUUAAGAUUGACUUUUUUCUUUUUUUAGGUCAGGAGACUUCUCAGGGGUGAAAGAGUCAAGUCCAAACUUGUUUCCUGUAAGGGAGAGAAGCUGUCCACCCACCCAUCUGUCCACCAUCCAUCCGUCCACCCACUUAUCUACUUAACUCCCCACCCAUCCAUUCACCUCCUUACCUCCCCCGCCCCCACCUAUCCAGUAUUCUCUGAGUAUAUUCUGGGCCAGGCUCUGCGCUGAGAGCUGAAGACUGUACAGAUCAGUCAAGUACCUCCCCUAGUCUCCAGCACCGCACAGUGGGACGGAGAAAGAUGGUGCAAAUAGACUAUAAAAAAUAAAUGUAAAUGCCACGAUGAGGCAAGUCAGGUGCUGUGGACCACAGAGGUCUUCACUCAGUCAUGGGGGUCAGAGGGGUCUUGGAGGAUGUAGGUGCUCUUGAGUUGAUCUGGAAGGACCAGAGGCAGAGAAAGCAUGAAAGUUAAGGGCCAGAAUGUGCAAAGGCCCAGGGAAUGUGUCAAAUAGCAUGUCACACUCUUUUGCAAACAGUGUAUGCUGGAGAAGGCGGUGGUGGUAGAGUGGGGUGGGAGAGAGAUCACAGCUAGAGUCCAAUGCAGAUUUCUUGACCUGUGGACCUGUUCUAGGUUCAUCUGGGAGUAGACAGGGAGGGAGCACAGAUGGAGGCCUCCCAGAACCAGAGCCGUUGUGGCUUGUGAUAGGCAGCUGGCUCUGAGUGAGUGUGUACUAAGCCCAGGGGCAAGGCAGCCUUUCAGGCUAGCUUAUUGACCAGGCGAGCAUUAGCAGGGUGAGGCCCAAGCUGCAGAGCCUGGCAGAUGGGUUCCAUUUCUGAGCCUCAGUCUCCCAAUGCUAAGCUGAGGAGCUGUUAUUCGGCGAUUGAGGCUGCUGAUGUUCCUUCCCUUUCCCUUACAGGGUAACUCCAAAUGGCCACUCUAGCUUCAGGCUGGGGGCUCUCCCACAGUACCUGAACCUACUUUCUCCAGUUCCGUCCAGGCAGGGUGAUUGUCCAAAACAGUCCCGAAUGUACCACUCACUGCUUGUGGAUAAAAGCACAGUUCUUAAAGAGGCAUUAAAAAAAUUCCACACUUUAUAAACAUAGUCUCUGCCUCCCUUCCUUCCUAUUCUGUCCCUCCCUUCCUUCCUUCCAUCCACGUAUCCAUCCAUCCUUCCAUCCUUCCAUCGUUCCUUCCUUCCUUGCUUCCCACCCUUUAUCUAGCCUCUCAGUCGUUCAACAAACAGCUAUUUCUUAUCUCACUCUCCUUUCUCCUGUUCACUCACUGCGCACUGCCCUCUUGCCUUGUGUCUGAGGGGCAGUCUCCCCCUCUGUUUGGUGAGAGGUAGUGCUGGUGGUGAGGCUGUUGCUCUUCUCCUUUGCCUAUCACUCACCUUUUCUUCAAGGUCACUUCCUCUGUGAAGGCUCCUGCCUUACCAGCGAUCCUUCCUCUCGGCUUCCACUCUGAGGCGCUUGUCUCUUUAUGGGGUGUAUAAUUCACAGCAUUGUUUCUGUGCCUGUCUGUUGCUCACUGUCCUACCCCAGCUCCACCAGGGUGGCUUCACUGUGCAUUGUUUAGGUUGUGCACUGCACAAGAAUACCGAACUGAAGGAGGUGAUGUGGUGGGAGGCUACAUCUGCUCAGAAGGAGGAAUGCUUUUUUUCUAAAUUUUCCAAAGGCACUUGCUCUCCAAGAGAUUGGUUCAAUUGGCUGAAUCUAUUUCAAGUGGGCACUUUUGCUCUUUCUCAAACUAAGGUUCUUUGAGCUAGCGUGAUGGAUUAACUAAUGGUCACCUUGUAACACCCAGCUGAACUGAAUCAUGUGAUUCUGGGCAUGGAAGGCCCACCUGAGGAGUGCUGCCAAUGGCAUAAACUGGAGGGAAACAUGGUAUGCUGUUGAUUCUCCUGGAGAAGCUUAUCAUACUGGCAUUCCUGAUAUGAACUCAGCUGUUCUCAUCGUUGGAGGAGCUUGGAUCCUCGCUGUCACUGAGAUUGGCUGCCAGUCUCUUCUAGUCCUUAGGCUGCCAGGAGCUCUCUGGUCCUUACCUUGAGCAUUGCUUCCUGGCUCCAGUACAGACCCCUCAGCCUCCUGGCACAGAUCUUUCAUCCCACUGGCACAGACUUUCUAGCUUCCACCACUGACCUUUGGGCCUUCCAAGUGCAGAUCCUUGAUGCAGAGUUGCAUGAGACAUUGUCAUGGGCUCUAGGCCUUCAGUUGAACUCAUGCAGGACAUUGCCAUGGGAUCCAGGCCCUCAGCUAAAUUCUUGGGGUCUCUAGUAUGUGGACAGACCUCCUGCAUUCUUUUGCAUUUGACUUUUUGGGUGAAUAUUAUGAAAUAAUCCUAUAAAUUAUGUGUCCUGUAUUAAAUCUGUUCCCUCACAAACCCUGACCACCACAGCUAGUGAUGGCCACAUCCUGAUUCUAAGUUCCUGAAGAUCAGAAUGACUUUGGGCUUAACCCUCCAGCUCCUAGCACAACAGUGGCAGGCCCCAGGGACUUCCAGGCAUGUUCUGAAAGGAGAAGACUGCGAGUGGUGAGUCUUGGUUCCCUGGGCCUUGGAGGGAAUGCUACGACUCAUGCCUGCCUUGUAGGGAGACCAGGCUUCUGACAGUGUGGCUGCAGAUUUAUUUGGAAAUUCCCCAGUAAGUGGUGUUUUUUGUCUCCCGGGGACCUCAAGAGCUCACUAGAGGACCCACAGACCAGGGCUCCUCCAAAUAUUGUUUUAAACUGAUGGAUGCCAUGCCAGGCAGAGAAGGGACAGGCAUUUUUCAUACAUGAAAGACAGUACAUUCUGGGGCCAAAACAAAAUUAUUUCACGUUUGUAUGAUAACAGGCAGGGAGACAAAGAUGAUGUUUGAGGACAUUUAAACCUCAAAAUCAUUAGUCACUGUCCCAGCAGGCUACACAAAUAAAUGAUCAAUGCACAGAAAAACAAGGCCCUCUGAGGUGUUUGCCCAAGACCACUUAUGUGUCAAGCAGACUUAUUAGAUGUGAAGGGAAUGAUUAUUUGUACAAAGUGAAAUGAACAUGUGCAAUAAUAUUGUAAAAUGUUUAUUAGUCUAGAGUGUGCUGAAUGU